GGAUGAACGCUGGCGGCGUGCCUAAUCCAUGCAAGUCGAGCGAACAGACGAGGAGCUUGCUCCUCUGACGUUAGCGGCGGACGGGUGAGUAACACGUGGAUAACCUACCUAUAAGACUGGGAUAACUUCGGGAAACCGGAGCUAAUACCGGAUAAUAUAUUGAACCGCAUGGUUCAAUAGUGAAAGACGGUUUUGCUGUCACUUAUAGAUGGAUCCGCGCCGCAUUAGCUAGUUGGUAAGGUAACGGCUUACCAAGGCAACGAUGCGUAGCCGACCUGAGAGGGUGAUCGGCCACACUGGAACUGAGACACGGUCCAGACUCCUACGGGAGGCAGCAGUAGGGAAUCUUCCGCAAUGGGCGAAAGCCUGACGGAGCAACGCCGCGUGAGUGAUGAAGGUCUUCGGAUCGUAAAACUCUGUUAUUAGGGAAGAACAAAUGUGUAAGUAACUAUGCACGUCUUGACGGUACCUAAUCAGAAAGCCACGGCUAACUACGUG
rnacentral:rRNA from 1 species